AAACACACAUUAGGGUAGGGAGAAUUGACACACACACAGAAAAGGGGGCUGCAAUAUUAUAUCUUUACACAUUGGGCAGUGACGUGAAGGAGGUUGGAGAAGAAAAUACAUUCUUAAGAAGUCUGCGGCUGUGGGAAAAUUGAGGGUACCAAGGCUGAAUUUCAGAAAUAUAUAUAUUAACAGAAAAUGGCAUAUUCAGGCGGUCGAAAAUUGAAGUGCAAAGUUAAUAAAGUCGGCCAGCUGCUUGGGGUGAAUAAUUGGGCUGAAAAGUUGAAUUAAAUACAUAUAUACACCCACAGAAAGCCAAAAACUGGAUCUGGGACUGGAAUUAAAUUACGAGGCUGCUUGGUGAAUAAUUGGGCUGAAUUGAAUAUAGAAUACACGCACAAAAAGGAGGAGAAUUGGACUACAAAAGUUGGCGGUUGUUGGAGAUUAUACGUAUAAAAACAGAAACCAGCAGCUUGAGGAAAUUGAGGCAACUUUUGGGGGGCUGAAUUCUAUUAUAUAUAUAAACAAAAAAUGGUGGCAGAUUGAAGGAAAAUGAAGGCAGAAUACCAGCAAGAGUAAAUUACAUUCACGCGCAGAAAGUCUAGGCAACUGGAGACGGAAUUAAGCACGCUCUAUCUAUCUUUUUGGUGAUAUCCUUUCACUUUUAUUUGUUUCAUUUCAACAUGUUCAGCUAAUUUUUUUAUAUUGCUAAGAUGUGAUAAACCUUGUUAUGAAUUUUUGGUUUGAAUAAUUAAUUUGACGUUAAAUUGGUU
rnacentral:lncRNA from 1 species